GGCUUCAUAGCUCAGUUGGUGGAAAAUCGCAGCGGGAUAGCGGAAUCACGGGUUCGACUCCCGUUGAAGCCC
rnacentral:tRNA from 1 species